GGGGGUAAUGUGUGGGGGGGCGCAGGGGAGUGAGAAGAGGAGAGAUGACAGGAGGCAGAGAAGGGGAGGUGAGUUGAGAGGAGGGAGGGAGGGAGGGAGAGGAGAAUCUGUUUCUGGGACGGCCAAAGCAGUGAAAUGCUGCAGUGAAGUCACAUAGCUGAGCCGGUCCGAACACAGCUACUGAGCUCUCCUUUCACUCUCUCUCCUCAAACCUUCAUUUUUUCCCACCUCCCACUCUGAUUAACCUUCUUCUCACCCCACACUCCGACCUGCUCCAUCCACUUCUCUCUCUUCCUUUAUUUCUCUCUCUCUCUUUCUCCCUCUCUCUCUUUCUGUCUCUUCCCCUCCCUCUCUCAUCCUUCCUCUCUGUCUUUGCACCAGCCGGUGA